rnacentral:rRNA from 1 species
CUACGGGUCGCUGCAGUGAGGAAUAUUGCACAAUGGGGGGAACCCUGAUGCAGCAACGCCGCGUGGAGGAUGACGCAUUUCGGUGUGUAAACUCCUUUUAUAUGUCAAGAAAAUGACGGUAGCAUAUGAAUAAGCACCGGCUAACUCCGUGCCAGCAGCCGCGGUAAUACGGAGGGUGCAAGCGUUACUCGGAAUCACUGGGCGUAAAGGACGCGUAGGCGGGUUGGAAAGUCAGGUGUGAAAUCCUACAGCUUAACUGGAGAACUGCACUUGAAACUUCUAAUCUAGAGUAUGGGAGGGGGAGAUGGAAUUAGUGGUGUAGGGGUAAAAUCCGUAGAUAUCACUAGGAAUACCUAAAACGAAGGCGAUCUCCUGGAACAUUACUGACGCUAAGGCGUGAAAGCGUGGGGAGCAAACAGGAUUAGAUACCCGCGUAGUC